rnacentral:rRNA from 1 species
CCUACGGGAGGCAGCAGUGGGGAAUUUUGGACAAUGGGCGAAAGCCUGAUCCAGCCAUACCGCGUGCGGGAAGAAGGCCUUCGGGUUGUAAACCGCUUUUGUCAGGGAAGAAAUGCUUCGGGCUAAUACCCUGGGGUGAUGACGGUACCUGAAGAAUAAGCACCGGCUAACUACGUGCCAGCAGCCGCGGUAAUACGUAGGGUGCAAGCGUUAAUCGGAAUUACUGGGCGUAAAGCGUGCGCAGGCGGUUCUAUAAGACAGAUGUGAAAUCCCCGGGCUCAACCUGGGAACUGCAUUUGUGACUGUAGAGCUAGAGUACGGUAGAGGGGGAUGGAAUUCCGCGUGUAGCAGUGAAAUGCGUAGAUAUGCGGAGGAACACCGAUGGCGAAGGCAAUCCCCUGGACCUGUACUGACGCUCAUGCACGAAAGCGUGGGGAGCAAACAGGAUUAGAUACCCUGGUAGUCCACGCCCUAAACGAUGUCAACUGGUUGUUGGGAGGGUUUCUUCUCAGUAACGAAGCUAACGCGUGAAGUUGACCGCCUGGGGAGUACGGCCGCAAGGUUGAAACGUCAAAUUGAAUUGACGGCUUGAGNGNGCGAGACGACACGAGGAGAGG